AACGAACGCUGGCGGCAGGCCUAACACAUGCAAGUCGAACGAGUAAGAGCCGUAGCAAUACGGAGUUCUGCUAGUGGCGCACGGGUGAGUAACCGCGUGGGAACGUGCCUUGGAGUUCGGGAUAACAGUUGGAAACGACUGCUAAUACCGAAUAUUCCCUCGAGGGGAAAGAUUUAAUCGCUCCAAGAUCGGCCCGCGUAAGAUUAGGUAGUUGGUGGGGUAAUGGCCUACCAAGCCUACGAUCUUUAGCUGGUCUGAGAGGACGACCAGCCACACUGGAACUGAGACACGGUCCAGACUCCUACGGGAGGCAGCAGUGGGAAUAUUGGACAAUGGGCGAAAGCCUGAUCCAGCC
rnacentral:rRNA from 1 species